UCUCCACCCUCACCUCCAGCUUGUUCACCACAACGCCAGCCUUCGCCGGGACCGGCACCAAGGGAGCAAGAGGAUCCUCCUCAACCUUCGGUAUUCGAUCCUAAUGUACUCGUCCAGCACGUGGAACUCUUAGGCAGGCAGAUUGCUGAUAUGCAGAGGCAGAUGCUUCUUGAGAGGCAACCUCCUGCUCCAUUGGUGCAGGAUCCUCAGGAGCCUGCCCCAAGAGGUAGGGGCAGAGGUGCCUCUAGGGGUAGGCCCAGAGCUGGGAGAAAUCUCGGCCAGAGGAACGCUCGAUACUGGAGGGGACGUUAUUACCAGAAUAGGUCCCGUCAAGGAAGAGGAGCUUCCUUCAACUUUUUUUAUAGGGAUUGACGAGCAAUCUUGUUGCCGUGUCCGGUCCUCAUUCCACAUACUUCUUCGAUCCCCACGAUGUCUAUUUUUCAUUAUUGAAAAUUUAAUUUAAAA